GACGAACGCUGGCGGCGUGCUUAACACAUGCAAGUCGAACGGUGAAGGGGUCUGCUUUUGUGGGCCCUGGAUGAGUGGCGAACGGGUGAGUAACACGUGAGUAACCUGCCCCCUUCUUCUGGAUAACCGCAUGAAAGUGUGGCUAAUACGGGAUAUUCUGGGUCUGUCGCAUGAUGGGUCUGGGAAAGAUUGCGCCUUUGGGUGUUUUUGGUGGGGGAUGGGCUCGCGGCCUAUCAGCUUGUUGGUGGGGUGAUGGCCUACCAAGGCGGUGACGGGUAGCCGGGCGGAGAGGGGGGACGGUCACACUGGGACUGAGACACGGCCCAGAAUCCUACGGGAGGCAGCAGUGGGGAAGAGUGCACAAGGGGCGCAAGCCUGAUGCAGCGACGCCGCGUGAGGGAGGGAGGCCUUCGGGGUGUAAACCUCUUUCGCCAGUGAAGCAGGCCUGCUCCGUGUGGGUGGGUUGACGGUAGCUGGAUAAGAAGCGCCGGCUAACUACGUG
rnacentral:rRNA from 1 species